UGGGGAAUAUUGCACAAUGGGCGCAAGCCUGAUGCAGCCAUGCCGCGUGUGUGAAGAAGGCCUUCGGGUUGUAAAGCACUUUCAGCGGGGAGGAAGGCGUUAAGGUUAAUAACCUUGGUGAUUGACGUUACCCGCAGAAGAAGCACCGGCUAACUCCGUGCCAGCAGCCGCGGUAAUACGGAGGGUGCAAGCGUUAAUCGGAAUUACUGGGCGUAAAGCGCACGCAGGCGGUCUGUCAAGUCGGAUGUGAAAUCCCCGGGCUCAACCUGGGAACUGCACUCGAAACUGGCAGGCUAGAGUCUUGUAGAGGGGGGUAGAAUUCCAGGUGUAGCGGUGAAAUGCGUAGAGAUCUGGAGGAAUACCGGUGGCGAAGGCGGCCCCCUGGACAAAGACUGACGCUCAGGUGCGAAAGCGUGGGGAGCAAACAGG
rnacentral:rRNA from 1 species